ACUUUUGCACCGCGAUUUGGUUCCCGAUUUUUUUCGGGAUUAAAAGGGAAUCCAGUGUAAAUCUGGAGCUGUUCCCGCAACUGUAAGAGUCCAUAUUUAAUUUGUAAUACCACUGAUCCGAUACGGGUUGGGAAGGUUAAUUAAAGGACUGAGUCAGGAGACCUGCCAAUCUGCAUGUACUGUA
rnacentral:ncRNA from 2 species